rnacentral:rRNA from 1 species
GUACCAGACUCCUACGGGAGGCAGCAGUGAGGAAUAUUGGUCAAUGGUCGGGAGACUGAACCAGCCAAGCCGCGUGAGGGAGGAAGGUACAGAGUCUCGUAAACCUCUUUUGUCAGGGAACAAAGGCGGGGACGUGUCCCCGGAUGAGUGUACCUGAAGAAAAAGCAUCGGCUAACUCCGUGCCAGCAGCCGCGGUAAUACGGAGGAUGCGAGCGUUAUCCGGGUUUAUUGGGUUUAAAGGGUGCGCAGGCGGUCUGUUAAGACGUGGGUGAAAGCCCGGGGCUCAACCCCGGGCCGCCGUUGAAACUGGCAGUCUCGAGUUGGAGAGAAGUAUGCGGAAUGCGCGGUGUAGCGGUGAAAUGCAUAGAUAUCGCGCAGAACUCCGAUUGCGAAGGCAGCAUGCCGGCUCCACACUGACGCUGAGGCACGAAAGCGUGGGUAUCGAACAGGAUUAGAUACCCUGGUAAAA